CGCUAGCUCAGUUACGCGAGGCCUAGCUUAACUUGCGAGCUGUGAUUGAUAGCCUACAUUGAAAAUGGUAACGGGUGGAGAUUAUAUUGAUACAGCAGGUGGAGAUUAUAUUAUCGCGGAUUUAUUGUCAGUGCCCUUUUCAAGACGACCGUUUAAUGAAAAGAUGGACAUUGCUAAAAAAAAAAAAAAAAAAAAAAGCCGCCCAACGUCCGAACACCUCUAGCUCAGUCAACCUACAAAAGCAGGCGAUGUGCGCCACUUUCAGGCUAGCAACUGGGAACGAUACACUUGGCUCACAGGCUCGAACGAUGAUGGGGGGAUUGGAGGUUGGAGGAUAUGCUGAAAAUCAAAAGUUCCAGCAAAAGGGAGUGGAUUUUGGUGACAGCUCCCAGCAGAUCUUAAUUCCAGGUGUUCAACCCACUCAUCAAACUACAGCUAUGUCUCAUCUGUUACACAGCCAAGGAGUUGGAAUGAGUCAGAGUCAUCACACCAAGGGUCUUCUCACAUGUCCGUGUCU